rnacentral:rRNA from 1 species
UGCAAGUCGAACGGUGAAGCAGGAGCUUGCUCUUGUGGAUCAGUGGCGAACGGGUGAGUAACACGUGAGCAACCUGCCCCGGACUCUGGGAUAAGCGCUGGAAACGGCGUCUAAUACUGGAUAUGAGACGUGACCGCAUGGUCAACGUUUGGAAAGAUUUUUCGGUCUGGGAUGGGCUCGCGGCCUAUCAGCUUGUUGGUGAGGUAAUGGCUCACCAAGGCGUCGACGGGUAGCCGGCCUGAGAGGGUGACCGGCCACACUGGGACUGAGACACGGCCCAGACUCCUACGGGAGGCAGCAGUGGGGAAUAUUGCACAAUGGGCGAAAGCCUGAUGCAGCAACGCCGCGUGAGGGAUGACGGCCUUCGGGUUGUAAACCUCUUUUAGCAGGGAAGAAGCGAGAGUGACGGUACCUGCAGAAAAAGCGCCGGCUAACUACGUGCCAGCAGCCGCGGUAAUACGUAGGGCGCAAGCGUUAUCCGGAAUUAUUGGGCGUAAAGAGCUCGUAGGCGGUCUGUCGCGUCUGCUGUGAAAUCUGGAGGCUCAACCUCCAGCCUGCAGUGGGUACGGGCAGACUAGAGUGCGGUAGGGGAGAUUGGAAUUCCUGGUGUAGCGGUGGAAUGCGCAGAUAUCAGGAGGAACACCGAUGGCGAAGGCAGAUCUCUGGGCCGUAACUGACGCUGAGGAGCGAAAGGGUGGGGAGCAAACAGGCUUAGAUACCCUGGUAGUCCACCCCGUAAACGUUGGGAACUAGUUGUGGGGUCCUUUCCACGGAUUCCGUGACGCAGCUAACGCAUUAAGUUCCCCGCCUGGGGAGUACGGCCGCAAGGCUAAAACUCAAAGGAAUUGACGGGGACCCGCACAAGCGGCGGAGCAUGCGGAUUAAUUCGAUGCAACGCGAAGAACCUUACCAAGGCUUGACAUACACGAGAACGGGCCAGAAAUGGUCAACUCUUUGGACACUCGUGAACAGGUG